rnacentral:lncRNA from 1 species
GAAGAAACGACCCAAGGUUGUGCCAAGUGCCCGGAGGCGGAGGAGGCAGGGGGCGUCUUCGUGGAGAGACUGGGAAGGAUUUCUCCGACGUGUGGGGUGACUGAAGUCAGUACGAAGCCGACCUGACGUUCCCCCUGCCUGGUUUAAGGUGGUUACUCUGGAUCUUGGAAUAGGAAGCAGGCUUCCUUCUGGGAGGGGAGCCUGGCUCGGGAAGCCCCGCAGACCCAGCCCACCUGACCUCACGUCU